rnacentral:lncRNA from 1 species
UUGUAUUCAUAAUAAAAAUGUUUAUAACCCAAUCACCUUUAUAUUUAUUAAGCACCAAUAAACAUUUUCAUAAAUAUUUUAGUCAUAAUACACUAAUAAAUAUUUAUUUGCUUUCCUCUCUUGAAGGCAGUGGGAAAGUUACUCAGAAGUCAAAAGAUGGUGUUAUCCUCAUAUGGUGGACCCUAGAGAAUGUCAUAUAUCACAGAAAAUGCACUAUACUGCUAGCUUUAGAGAAGAAAUUGAAAAUGCAUGUGCAGGGAUCUCAACGACCAAGGUACCUAAGCAGCAGUUCAGUGUAUUAACAAAUGUGUGGAAGAUGAUGGCCACCACUUGGAGCAUC